rnacentral:rRNA from 1 species
AUACGGAGGAUGCGAGCGUUAUCCGGAUUUAUUGGGUUUAAAGGGUGCGUAGGCGGACGAUUAAGUCAGCUGUGAAAUGCCCGCGCUUAACGCGGGAAGUGCAGUUGAUACUGGUUGUCUGGAGUGCCGUUGCCGUGGGAGGAAUGUGUAGUGUAGCGGUGAAAUGCUUAGAGAUUACACAGAACACCGAUUGCGAAGGCAUCUCACGAAGGGUUGAUUGACGCUGAGGCACGAAAGCGUGGGGAUCAAACAGGAUUAGAUACCCUGGUAGUCCACGCAGUAAACGAUGAUGGCUAACCGCUGGGCUUAUCAGUUCAGUGGCCAAGCGAAAGCGAUAAGCCAUCCACCUGGGGAGUACGACCGCAAGGUUGAAACUCAAAUGAAUUGACGGGG